UACAUGGGGUGCAAACGUUGCUCGGAAUUAUUGGGCGUAAAGCGCGCGCAGGCGGUCCUUUAAGUCUGAUGUGAAAGCCCACGGCUCAACCGUGGAGGGUCAUUGGAAACUGGGGGACUUGAGUACAGAAGAGAAGAGUGGAAUUCCACGUGUAGCGGUGAAAUGCGUAGAGAUGUGGAGGAACACCAGUGGCGAAGGCGACUCUUUGGUCUGUAACUGACGCUGAGGCGCGAAAGCGUGGGGAGCAAACAGG
rnacentral:rRNA from 1 species